rnacentral:sRNA from 1 species
AUCCCUAGCUAUGCCACUGCCCACAUCAAACUGAAUUUGUUCUAUGACUUAUUUCUCAAUCAUUUGUGUUCACAUUUAUUUUUCUUUAUGAAAGUCCAACCCAGUACUUGUGAUGUGAAACAAAGAAUUGAUCCAUGCAAAGACAAGUACAAGUGUGUUGUCCAGAAUAAUGAAGCUGUAUGCAAACAAUCAAUUUCAGGAGCAGGGAAAUUACAGAUGAAACAUCUGGCAGUUUCACUUUCUGUCAUUGUAAUUUUUAUAUUUCUACAACUGUAAUGAUGAAUACAUUUCUGGUGCUUUUCAGUCAAAUGAAAAUUGUAGAAUUAUUCCUUAGUCCAUUGACUAACAAUAUUUAAAUAUAGAUACAAUAAUGUUAUUGAACUCCAAUAUUUAAUGUUUUUAUGUAUCCACAAAGACAUGAUUUUCUCUUGUUAAAUUAUCUUUUAUGUUUAUUGUAACUAUGAUUCUUUUCACAAAUUUACUAUUCUUCAUAACAUGUGGUAUGUGUGUGCUUUUUUAUUUACAAUCUAUUUCAACAGAAAUAAAGUUUUACAUUUUAAAUAUCUUCUUUCUUGUUUGUUUUACAUAUUUACAUGGUGAUUAUGACAUGGCCCACAUCUCCCACAGGAUGGGGAAUGAUGGCUGCAGGCAAGGUUCAAACCAUGGACCAGUGAGAUGAAUGUCCAAAGCACAUAUCACACUACCAGGCACCAUGAAAGAGCUCAACAGCAAGUGUCCUAAAACUUUUCUGUCAUAGUCAUAAUGGUCAAAUUUUAUUUUCCAAAAUAAUAAA